rnacentral:tRNA from 1 species
GCCGAGGUAGCCAAGCCCGGUAUGGCGCGAGCCUGGAGAGUUUGACACAGAAAGCUCGUGUUCCGCAAGGAGCGCAGGGGUUCAAAUCCCUUCCUCGGCG